GAAAUGCGAUAAGUAGUGUAAAUUGCAGAAUUUAGUAAAUUAUCGAAUCUUUGAACGCAUAUUGCGCCCUUUAGUAUUCCUUAGGGCAUGCCUGUUCGAGCGUUAUUUAAACCUUCAAGCUUAGCUUGGUGUUAGGUGUCUGUCCCGCUUUAGCGCAGACUCGCCUUAAAUUUAUUAGCGGCUAGUACAUUAGCUUCGAGCGCAGCAGAAACGCGAACUUAGAGACUUUGGAUCAGCUCCUAGAAGCUAUUUUCUAUUUUUGACCUUAGAUUAGGUAGGGAUACCCGCUGAACUUAA
rnacentral:misc_RNA from 1 species